GGCGGCGUGCUUAACACAUGCAAGUCGAACGAUGAUGACUGAAGCUUGCUUUGGUUUGAUUAGUGGCGAACGGGUGAGUAACACGUGAGUAACCUGCCCCUCACUUCGGGAUAACCAUUGGAAACGGUGGCUAAUACUGGAUAUGACACAUGGCUGCAUGGUCUGUGUGUGGAAAGAAGUUUGGUGGGGGAUGGGCUCGCGGCCUAUCAGCUUGUUGGUGGGGUGAUGGCCUACCAAGGCUUUGACGGGUAGCCGGCCUGAGAGGGCGACCGGCCACACUGGGACUGAGACACGGCCCAGACUCCUACGGGAGGCAGCAGUGGGGAAUAUUGCACAAUGGGGGAAACCCUGAUGCAGCGACGCCGCGUGGGGGAUGAAGGCCUUCGGGUUGUAAACCCCUUUCAGUAGGGAACAAGGCCAUGAUUGUUGUUGUGGUUGAGGGUACUUGCAGAAGAAGCGCCGGCUAACUACGUGCCAGCAGCCGCGGUAAUA
rnacentral:rRNA from 1 species